ACGCUCUUGUGUUUUCAAAGCUGCAAGUUUUCGUCACCACAGCCGAUAUCAAGCUGAGCCAACGCCAAUAUUCACAGAGCAAAACCUUCGUAAAGCACCUCAAACAAAGGUAAUAAAGUCUGCUGGAUCCACUCCUUCAUGGCAAUCGAUCAAAAUGGGAAUAAAUGCCUCAACUUCAACCUACCCGACAGAGAGAGUUGGAUAAGAAGAAUGACGUCCCACUUUUAUCUGGAAAUAUGAAGCAGACGUGAGCAGCUUGUCACUGUAGCUUAGCUUAACACAAAGAAUAACAGGGAGAAACAACGUGCCUGGUUCUGUCUAAUGGUGACAAAAUCUUCUUUUGUGGAAGCAUGCUGUACAACAAUGUAGCAGA